GCCAACCUGAAAUAUGUCAAGCAAUAAAACUGAAGGGGAACCUCUUCUCAUGCAUUGAUGAUGAUGCGCGCACUAAAGGAUUCUAAAACCACCAUUCCACACUACUGAACCUCCAUAUACAUUGAUGUUCAGAUGCAUAAUCUCUUCAAAUCUUCAAAAUGAAAAUAGCUAUCCCAUACAGAUGCGGCCAAAAAAAGAAGUCUAUACAAUGCUAAAUCCCCUUUCAUCUGCGGAGAUUUUCGGACUUCACUCCAAUAGUGCUUAUAAGAGGAUCUCUCUUCCUAUUCUUUUAAACUGGAAUUAUUGUAUCUCUGACAACUCAUCAAACUGCUAAAACUCACAUAUGAAAGAGAUAACCACUUGACUCGUGUACAGUCUCUGUGUUCUAUUCAAAAGAAAUAAAUUUCCACAACUACCUCAUAGUGCUCAUCUAUGUUACUGAUGCAAACAGAUAUGAGACUCGCAUGACAGGCCCAGCUGUCAUAAGAUCAGAUAUAUUUUGUUUUAGGUUAUAAAAGCAAACACCAAU